GCUUAAUCAAAUUCAAAAGAACCUCAAAGAAAUUUCAAACAAACAAUAGGAAUUUUUAAAAAAAUAUUAGAAAAAAUACAAAUGUCAUUCAAAUACAUCUCAAUUCAAUCUUAAUUUAAAUGUAGUUAAAAUCCUAUUGAACUUCAUUAAAACUUUAAGCCAAACUAAUUGAAUCUUAAAUCCUAAUAAAAUCCUAAAUCCUAAAUCAAACCCUAACCAAAUCCUAAACCAAACCCUAAAUCCUAAAUCAAAUCCUAACCAAAUCCUAAACCAAAUCCUAAUCCAAAACCUAAACCCUAAACCAAACCCUAACCAAAUCCUAAAUCCUAAAUCAAACCCUAAUCCAAAUCCUAAAUCCCAAACCAAAUCCUAACCAAACCCUAAACCAAAUCCUAGUAAUUCCUAUAACAGAUUUAAAUCCCAAUAACUAAUGAAUAAACCGUUGAUCUUAAAUCAAAUUUUACACACUUCUAAAAAAAUAAGUUAGAAACAAGCACAAAAAAAUUGAUAAGGAUCGGAGUUUCCAAAUUGAUGAUAUCCUCAAAAAUGUGCUCGGAUAUUGGCUGGCCUCCUUCUCCAAUCUUAAUGCCAAUCUUCCAGAGCCAAUAUCUCUCUUUUGCACCGUUCGAUUGAUCUCAAAAUUCUCAUACGCAUAAAAAAACAAGUCUAAUAUCCUCUCACGUAAGUUUCACUCCAAUUCAAUUAGUAGAUUGUAAGAAAUCUUAAAAAAUCUCACUGGAUCUAAAAUUCUACUUUCUAAGAUCUUGACCCACUUAAACCUCAAUAUCCUUCAACUUAACCGUUAGAUCAAGCUCAAACUCACAACACAUAUUGAACACAACAAUAAACAUAAACCCACAAAAUUUUACCUGUAGAUCUACAAAAAAACUCUUGAAAUCACCCAAAACAUAAACCCUAUUUUAUUUCAUAAAACCCAAGUCAUCCAAAAUAAACCUUGACUUUGCAAAGCUAUUACAAAGUCAGUACAAAUCCAAAUCACCCAAAUCCAACACCCAUAGAAAUCCUAUUCAAUCUUCUAUCAAACCCUACUCUUCGAUCUACCAAAGAAUCCCGAAGUCGUCGUCAAGACUCAGUUUUGUGCUUUAGGGUCUGAUUUCGACCCUAGUUCUUAACCGGCCCUCUCCGGGUAUCAACUUUCAUCUUCUUGAGGUAAUAUUUACUAAUUUGCACUCCU
rnacentral:lncRNA from 1 species